CAGCCGUAAACUAUGCGCGUUAGGUGUACUGGUGACCACGAGUCACCGGGGUGCCGAAGGGAAACCGUGAAACGUGCCGCCUGGGAAGUACGGUCGCAAGGCUGAAACUUAAAGGAAUUGGCGGGGGAGCACCACAACGGGUGGAGCUUGCGGUUUAAUUGGAUUCAACGCCGGAAAUCUUACCGGGACCGACAGCAACAUGAAGGCCAGGCUGAAGACUUUGCCGGAUUAGCUGAGAGGAGGUGCAUGGCGUAGUCGUGU
rnacentral:rRNA from 1 species